rnacentral:rRNA from 1 species
UGAGUAACCUGCCCUUCACUCUGGGAUAACUCCGGGAAACCGGGCUAAUACUGGAUAUGACUCGAACAGGCAUCUGUUUCGGGUGGAAAGAUUUAUUGGUGGAGGAUGGACUCGCGGCCUAUCAGCUAGUUGGUGAGGUAACGGCUCACCAAGGCGACGACGGGUAGCUGGUCUGAGAGGAUGGCCAGCCACAUUGGGACUGAGACACAGCCCAGACUCCUACGGGAGCA